UCAGCCCAGCUGUGUCUUAGGAGACAAUUAACCUAAGGAAAAGUUUAUGCGUGGGGACAAUGUACCACCGCCCACUGCAUUAACCCUGCGGAGCUGAAUGCAACAGGAUGAGAAGCACAAUCCUUUGGAUUUCAAAUGUGGUAACAAAGACAAAUAAAUUCACAGUCCAAGAAGACAAAGCCAUGUUUGUACAGAGGACUCAGACAGCCCAUCAAGGCAAUUCAAACAUUUAGCGAAGACUUACUCUGUGUCCAGCUGGAACCUGAAGUCCCGGAGGCUUGCAAGAACUGUCUUAACUGCUUUUGAUCCUGACCGACCUGGUGUUUCCCCGCAUGGCCCCGCGUGGCAUGGGGUGCCCCUUCUCUUGGAAUCUGGGAGUAUAACAAGUCAUCUCUCAAUGGCUAUUGUCUGCUGAUCUGAUGGCCUCACCAUACAUGAAUAAUGAUAUAAUAGUAAACCUUACACAUUUAGAGCAACGUGGGUCUAGACUUCACAUGUAAAGGGACACAAAAUCAUAUCUUAGCAACUAGAUGUACAUCCAAGUCUUGAACUGCCAAGAGUUUUAUUUUUGUAAAAAUGUUUGGUAAGAUUUAUUUACAUUUCCUGAAGUUGAAAUUUUAAAAUUUCAUCAUAACAAAUUGAAUAAAUAUUUUGAUACUGAUUAAUUUAUAACGUGUACUUUAGAAGGAA